rnacentral:rRNA from 1 species
CCUACGGGAGGCAGCAGUGGGGAAUAUUGCACAAUGGGGGGAACCCUGAUGCAGCGACGCCGCGUGAGUGAAGAAGUAUUUCGGUAUGUAAAGCUCUAUCAGCAGGGAAGAAAAUGACGGUACCUGACUAAGAAGCCCCGGCUAACUACGUGCCAGCAGCCGCGGUAAUACGUAGGGGGCAAGCGUUAUCCGGAUUUACUGGGUGUAAAGGGAGCGUAGACGGAAGAGCAAUUCUGAAGUGAAAGUCCGCGGACCAACUGCGGGACUGCUUUGGAAACUGCCCGGCUAGAGUGCGGGAGAGGUAAGUGGAAUUCCUAGUGUAGUGGUGAAAUGCGUAGAUAUUAGGAGGAACACCAGUGGCGAAGGCGGGUUACUGGACAGUAACUGACGUUGAGGCACGAAAGCGUGGGGAGCAAACAGGAUUAGAUACCCUUGUAGUC